rnacentral:rRNA from 1 species
GUUGAACGCUGGCGGCGGGCCUAACACAUGCAAGUCGAGCGCCGCGGGGGACGGGUGAGUACGGCCUAGGGAUCUGCCUGGUAGUGAGGGAUCAAUUACGGAGAGGGGCGAUAUUGCCACAUGCUCUAAGAUCAGCCUAGGUCGGCUUAGCUAGUUGGUGGGGUCAAGGCUUACCAAGUCCACGCUCCGUAACUGGUCUGAGAGGAUGAUCCGUCACACUGGAACUGAGACACGGCCCAGACUCCUACGGGAGGCAGCAGUGGGGAAUAUUCGACAAUGGGCGAAAGCCUGAUCCAGCAACGCCGCGUGUGUGAAGAAGGUCUUCGGAUUGUAAAGCACUUUAGGUUGGGAGGCGGGACCAAAAGAAUAAGCACCGGCUAACUUCGUGCCAGCCGCCGCGGUAAUUA